UACAGGGGGGGCGAGCGUUGUUCGGAAUUACUGGGCGUAAAGGGUUUGUAGGUGGCUUGCUCAGUCAGACGUGAAAUCCCUCAGCUUAACUGGGGAACUGCGUCUGAUACUAGCGAGCUUGAGUGCAGGAGAGGAACGCGGAAUUCCAGGUGUAGCGGUGAAAUGCGUAGAUAUCUGGAGGAACACCGGUGGCGAAGGCGGCGUUCUGGACUGCAACUGACACUGAGGCACGAAGGCCAGGGGAGCAAACGGG
rnacentral:rRNA from 1 species